GACUAUGAUGAGAUGUUGGAGUACUGGGCUCUGAUCUGCAUGAUUGACAAUCUCCACACUGAGUCCA